rnacentral:rRNA from 1 species
UAGGGAAUCUUCGGCAAUGGGGGGAACCCUGACCGAGCAACGCCGCGUGAGUGAAGAAGGUUUUCGGAUCGUAAAGCUCUGUUGUUAAGGAAGAACGAGUGUGAGAAUGGAAAGUUCAUACUGUGACGGUACUUAACCAGAAAGGGACGGCUAACUACGUGCCAGCAGCCGCGGUAAUACGUAGGUCCCGAGCGUUGUCCGGAUUUAUUGGGCGUAAAGCGAGCGCAGGCGGUUAGAAAAGUCUGAAGUGAAAGGCAGUGGCUCAACCAUUGUAGGCUUUGGAAACUGUUUAACUUGAGUGCAGAAGGGGAGAGUGGAAUUCCAUGUGUAGCGGUGAAAUGCGUAGAUAUAUGGAGGAACACCGGUGGCGAAAGCGGCUCUCUGGUCUGUAACUGACGCUGAGGCUCGAAAGCGUGGGGAGCGAACAGGAUUAGAUACCCUGGUAGUCCACGCCGUAAACGAUGAGUGCUAGGUGUUGGAUCCUUUCCGGGAUUCAGUGCCGCAGCUAACGCAUUAAGCACUCCGCCUGGGGAGUACGACCGCAAGGUU